rnacentral:rRNA from 1 species
GGAAUUAUUGACAAUGGGGGAAACCCUGAUCAUGCAACGCCGCGUGGAUGAUGAAGUACCUCGGUACGUAAAAUCCUUUCGACAGGGAAGAAACUCUUCGGAGCCGACGGUACCUGUAGAAGAAGCCCCGGCUAACUACGUGCCAGCAGCCGCGGUAAAACGUAGGGGGCCAGCGUUGCUCGGAAUUACUGGGCGUAAAGGGUCUGUAGGCGGUGCGGUAAGUCCGGAGUGAAAUCUCCAGGCUCAACUUGGAGGCUGCUUCGGAAACUGCCGUGCUCGAGUGUGGGAGAGGCGCGUGGAAUUGCAGGUGUAGCGGUGAAAUGCGUAGAUAUCUGCAGGAACACCAGUGGCGAAAGCGGCGCGCUGGACCACAACUGACGCUGAGAGACGAAAGCUAGGGGAGCAAA